AGAGUUUGAUCAUGGCUCAGAUUGAACGCUGGCGGCAGGCCUAACACAUGCAAGUCGAACGGUAACAGGAAGCAGCUUGCUGCUUUGCUGACGAGUGGCGGACGGGUGAGUAAUGUCUGGGAAACUGCCUGAUGGAGGGGGAUAACUACUGGAAACGGUGGCUAAUACCGCAUAACGUCGCAAGACCAAAGAGGGGGACCUUCGGGCCUCUUGCCAUCAGAUGUGCCCAGAUGGGAUUAGCUUGUUGGUGAGGUAACGGCUCACCAAGGCGACGAUCCCUAGCUGGUCUGAGAGGAUGACCAGCCACACUGGAACUGAGACACGGUCCAGACUCCUACGGGAGGCAGCAGUGGGGAAUAUUGCACAAUGGGCGCAAGCCUGAUGCAGCCAUGCCGCGUGUAUGAAGAAGGCCUUCGGGUUGUAAAGUACUUUCAGCGGGGAGGAAGGUGUUGUGGUUAAUAACCGCAGCAAUUGACGUUACCCGCAGAAGAAGCACCGGCUAACUCCGUGCCAGCAGCCGCGGUAAUACGGAGGGUGCAAGCGUUAAUCGGAAUUACUGGGCGUAAAGCGCACGCAGGCGGUCUGUCAAGUCGGAUGUGAAAUCCCCGGGCUCAACCUGGGAACUGCAUUCGAAACUGGCAGGCUUGAGUCUUGUAGAGGGGGGUAGAAUUCCAGGUGUAGCGGUGAAAUGCGUAGAGAUCUGGAGGAAUACCGGUGGCGAAGGCGGCCCCCUGGACAAAGACUGACGCUCAGGUGCGAAAGCGUGGGGAGCAAACAGGAUUAGAUACCCUGGUAGUCCACGCCGUAAACGAUGUCUACUUGGAGGUUGUGCCCUUGAGGCGUGGCUUCCGGAGCUAACGCGUUAAGUAGACCGCCUGGGGAGUACGGCCGCAAGGUUAAAACUCAAAUGAAUUGACGGGGGCCCGCACAAGCGGUGGAGCAUGUGGUUUAAUUCGAUGCAACGCGAAGAACCUUACCUGGUCUUGACAUCCACGGAACUUUCCAGAGAUGGAUUGGUGCCUUCGGGAACCGUGAGACAGGUGCUGCAUGGCUGUCGUCAGCUCGUGUUGUGAAAUGUUGGGUUAAGUCCCGCAACGAGCGCAACCCUUAUCCUUUGUUGCCAGCGGUCCGGCCGGGAACUCAAAGGAGACUGCCAGUGAUAAACUGGAGGAAGGUGGGGAUGACGUCAAGUCAUCAUGGCCCUUACGACCAGGGCUACACACGUGCUACAAUGGCGCAUACAAAGAGAAGCGACCUCGCGAGAGCAAGCGGACCUCAUAAAGUGCGUCGUAGUCCGGAUUGGAGUCUGCAACUCGACUCCAUGAAGUCGGAAUCGCUAGUAAUCGUGGAUCAGAAUGCCACGGUGAAUACGUUCCCGGGCCUUGUACACACCGCCCGUCACACCAUGGGAGUGGGUUGCAAAAGAAGUAGGUAGCUUAACCUUCGGGAGGGCGCUUACCACUUUGUGAUUCAUGACUGGGGUGAAGUCGUAACAAGGUAACCGUAGGGGAACCUGCGGUUGGAUCACCU
rnacentral:rRNA from 3 species